rnacentral:rRNA from 1 species
GAAAGUAGAGAAGGGCGCAUGGCGGAUGCCUUGGCUCUCGGAGGCGAAGAAGGACGUGAUAAGCUGCGAAAAGCUGCGGGGAGGUGCAAAUAACCCUUGAUCCGCGGAUCUCCGAAUGGGACAACCCGAUACCUUGAAGAGGUAUCAUCCAUCUUGUGAUGGAGGCUAACGCAGGGAACUGAAACAUCUUAGUACCUGCAGGAAAAGAAAAUAAGAAUGAUUCCCCCAGUAGUGGCGAGCGAACGGGGAAGAGCCCAAACCCCGGAUGUUACGGCAUCCGGGGGGUUGUAGGACCGCGACGUUGCAAGCAAUCUCGUGAAUGGAACUGUUUGGAAAAUCAGACCGUAGACGGUGAGAGUCCGGUACAUGAAGCGAGACGAAGCAUAGCGGUAUCCUGAGUAGCGCGGGACACGAGGAAUCCUGCGUGAAUCCGCCGGGACCAUCCGGCAAGGCUAAAUACUCCCGAGAGACCGAUAGCGAACCAGUACCGUGAGGGAAAGGUGAAAAGCACUUCGAACAGAAGAGUGAAAGAGUACCUGAAACCGUGCGCCUACAAGCGGUCGGAGCUUCUUUAUGAAGUGACGGCGUGCCUUUUGCAUAAUGAACCUACGAGUUACCGUGUCUGGCAAGGUUAAGGGGCAUGAGUCCCGGAGCCGAAGCGAAAGCGAGUCUGAAUAGGGCGUCGAGUCAGAUGCGGUAGACGCGAAACCAAGUGAUCUACCCUUGGCCAGGAUGAAGUCUGGGUAACACCAGAUGGAGGUCCGCACCAAUAAGCGUUGAAAAGCUUCUGGAUGAGCUGAGGGUAGGAGUGAAAGGCCAAUCAAACUUGGAGAUAGCUCGUACUCCCCGAAAUGCAUUUAGGUGCAGCCUCAUGAAUUACUGCUGCGAGGUAGAGCGACUGAUAAGAUGCGAGGGCUUCACCGCCUAUCAAGUCUUGACAAACUCCGAAUGCGCAUCAGUUCGAUCAUGGGAGUGAGGGCAUGGGUGCUAAGGUCCGUGCCCGAGAGGAGAACAAUCCUGACCACCGGCUAAGGCCCCGAAAUGACAGCUAAGUUAAACUAACGAAGUCUGAUUGCUAAGACAGCUAGGAUGUUGGCUUGGAAGCAGCCAUUCAUUUAAAGAGUGCGUAACAGCUCACUAGUCGAGGAAUCGGGCGUGGAUAAUAAUCGGGUAUGAAGUUGUCUGCCGAAGCCGUGGGAUAUGCAAGUAUCGGUAGGGGAGCAUUCCAUUCGGCGUUGAAGGCGCACCGUGAGGUGUUCUGGAGCGUAUGGAAAAGCAAAUGUAGGUAUAAGUAACGAUAAAGGGGGCGGGAAACCCCCUCGCCGAAAGACUAAGGUUUCCUGAUCAACGCUAAUCGGAUCAGGGUAAGUCGGGACCUAAGGCUCAGCCGAACGGCGAGGCCGAUGGCAGAAACGGUCAAGAUUCCGUUACUACCUUACAGGGUGACGUGGAGACGCAGAAGUGGCACUGCCGCGGGCUGACGGAAUAGCCCGUUGAAGAGUGUAGGCGUAGAUUCCCGCAGGCAAAUCCGUGGGGAGAGCCGAUCUUGAGAGUACACCAAUUCCUCCGGGAUGCGGUGACAGCGCAGGUAAGCAGACUGCCGAGAAAAUCCGCUAAACAUAACCUGUAAGGUACCCGUACCGCAAACGGACACACGUAGUCGGGUUGAAUAUACUAAGGCGCUUGAGUGAAUCACGGUUAAGGAACUAGGCAAACUGACCCUGUAACUUCGGGAUAAAGGGUCCCUCCUCGCAAGAGAGGGCGCAGAGAAUAGGUCCAGGCAACUGUUUAACAAAAACACAGGGCUGUGCGAAUAUGAAAGUAGAAGUAUACAGCCUGACACCUGCCCGGUGCUGGAAGGUUAAGAGGAGACGUCAUCGCAAGAGAAGCGUUGAAUUGAAGCCCCAGUAAACGGCGGCCGUAACUAUAACGGUCCUAAGGUAGCGAAAUUCCUUGUCGGGUAAGUUCCGACCUGCACGAAUGGUGUAAUGAUCCGGACGCUGUCUCAACCGUGAGCUCAGUGAAAUUGUAGUAUCGGUGAAGAUGCCGAUUACCCGCGAUGGGACGAAAAGACCCCGUGAACCUUUACUAUAGCUUAGCAUUGGAUUUGGGCACGCGAUGUGUAGGAUAGGUCGGAGGCUUUGAGACGGGCACGCCAGUGUCCGUGGAGCCGCUGUUGAAAUACGACCCUUCGUUUGUUUGAGUUCUAACUCCCGGGUGGAGGACAUUGCUUGGUGGGUAGUUUGACUGGGGUGGUCGCCUCCAAAAGCGUAACGGAGGCUUCUAAAGGUGCCCUCAGGACGAUCGGUAACCGUCCGCAGAGUGUAAUGGCAUAAGGGCGCUUGACUGGGAGACAGACAGGUCGAGCAGGUAGGAAACUAGAGCAUAGUGAUCCGGUGUUUCCGAAUGGAAGGGACAUCGCUCAAAGGAUAAAAGGUACUCCGGGGAUAACAGGCUGAUCCCUCCCAAGAGCUCAUAUCGACGGAGUGGUUUGGCACCUCGAUGUCGGCUCGUCACAUCCUGGGGCUGGAGAAGGUCCCAAGGGUUGGGCUGUUCGCCCAUUAAAGUGGCACGCGAGCUGGGUUCAGAACGUCGUGAGACAGUUCGGUCUCUAUCUAUCGUGGGCGUAUGAAAUUUGCGUGGCUCUGACACUAGUACGAGAGGACCGUGUUGGACCGACCUCUGGUUUACCGGUUGUGCCGCCAGGUGCAUCGCCGGGUAUCCAAGUCGGGAUCGGAUAAGCGCUGAAAGCAUCUAAGUGCGAAGCCGGCCACAAGAUUAGAUUUCUCAGGGUCGUCAAAGACGAUGACGUCGAUAGGAUGCAGGUGUAAAGGUGGAGACACCAAAGCCGAGCAUUACUAAUUGCCCGUAUUCUUUCCUUG